rnacentral:lncRNA from 1 species
GACGCCCAAAAAGUCCCAUGCUUUCCGUUGGUCCAGGUUUUGGUACAGACCCCCCUCCUGCGCCCGCGAGGGAUUGAAUUCCUGACCUCAACGCCCCUCGAGGCUCUCAUAAUAGAGAUAGAGGAAACCCAACGAGAGCUAAAGGGGGCCCAGGAAGAAUUGAAGUCCUGGGAGGGCGAGCGGAGGGCUUUCUUUGAGAAGGAAGCGCGUCUGUAUCAUCAGCGGCUGAGAAGCGCGGAGGUAUACCGCGAAUACCAAGCUCUGUUAACCAGGCGGGAUCUCUGGGAGGCAGAGUUAACGCGCUUAAAGGAACUGCUGGGUAACAGGGCGAGUGAGUGAAGGCCCCCGC